rnacentral:rRNA from 1 species
GAGGACAAUACUGGAUAGGCAAUUUUUCCUGUAAUGGUUUUUUGUUUAAAUGUUUUUUCGCCUAAGGAUGGGUCUGCGGCCGAUUAGGUAGUUGGUUAGGUAAUGGCUUACCAAGCCGUUGAUCGGUACGGGUUGUGAGAGCAAGAGCCCGGAGAUGGAACCUGAGACAAGGUUCCAGGCCCUACGGGGUGCAGCAGGCGCGAAACCUCCGCAAUGUGAGAAAUCGCGACGGGGGGGUCCCAAGUGCCAUUCUUAACGGGAUGGCUUUUCAUUAGUGUAAAAAGCUUUUGGAAUAAGAGCUGGGCAAGACCGGUGCCAGCCGCCGCGGUAACACCGGCAGCUCUAGUGGUAGCAAUUUUUAUUGGGCCUAAAGCGUCCGUAGCCGGUUUAAUAAGUCUCUGGUGAAAUCCUGUAGCUUAACUGUGGGAAUUGCUGGAGAUACUAUUAGACUUGAGACCGGGAGAGGUUAGAGGUACUCCCAGGGUAGAGGUGAAAUUCUGUAAUCCUGGGAGGACCGCCUGUUGCGAAGGCGUCUAACUGGAACGGUUCUGACGGU